AUACGGAGGAUGCGAGCGUUAUCCGGAUUUAUUAGGUUUAAAGGGUGUGUAGGCGGUAUUUUAAGUCAGUGGUGAAAUCUCGGAGCUUAACUUCGAAACUGCCAUUGAUACUGGAAUACUUGAGUAUAGUUGAGGUAGGCGGAAUAUGUAAUGUAGCGGUGAAAUGCAUAGAUAUUACAUAGAACACCGAUUGCGAAGGCAGCUUACUUAACUAUUACUGACGCUGAUGCACGAAAGCGUGGGGAGCGAACAGGAUUAGAAACCCUAGUAGUCC
rnacentral:rRNA from 1 species